AUACGGAGGGGGUUAGCGUUGUUCGGAAUUACUGGGCGUAAAGCGCACGUAGGCGGACUGGAAAGUUGGGGGUGAAAUCCCGGGGCUCAACCCCGGAACUGCCUCCAAAACUUCCAAUCUAGAGAUCGAGAGAGGUGAGUGGAAUUCCAAGUGUAGAGGUGAAAUUCGUAGAUAUUUGGAGGAACACCGGUGGCGAAGGCGGCUCACUGGCUCGAUACUGACGCUGAGGUGCGAAAGCGUGGGGAGCAAACAGGAUUAGAUACCCCGGUAGUCC
rnacentral:rRNA from 1 species